UACGAAUCAACAAGUUUAAAGAUGGCGGAGGACCGAGCAGACAAUACAAGAGCAAAAUCAUUGAAUCUUCCGGAAUCAACAAUACCAACGAAUGCGAACUGGAGUGAUGCGGAAGAAGAAUGAAUUUGUUUCAUUCCAUUUUUCAACCCUACCGACAGGAGGAAAAAUAAAAGGGUUAAUCUCAUGAAGUUCUACAACCAUAUCAGGAAAACCCGCAAAUACUUGUACCGGAUUCAUUAUAACUUCGGAGCAAAGUAAAAGUUUGUCUGUCAGCUAUUACCUGAGAUGCAAAACUGUGCCAUGGGCUGGAUUCAAUGAACGGGAAAAAGAACUUUGUUACCAUUUUCAUGCCACAAGUGUUGGCGCGAGUGAUUUGAAGGAGUGAUUUCAUGAAUUAGGAGGCAACAAUCAUCAUCGCCAUCUCCAUCCCAUGGAAAUGCACGCGCAGUUGACAAUUAUGCGGUCAGAUGAGCAAAGUUGAAUAACUCCUUGGAUAUG